CCUGCAAAACAGACACAUGGAAAUAAUUGAGGAGAUGGAUGGAGGGAAGGUCACCAGCAUAUUGAAGGGGCAAAAUGGGAAGUCAGCAAGGAGAAUUAAUGCAAGAAAAUCACGAGCGUCAAGAAGGGAGAGAGGAACAGCCAAGGAAGAACAGAAACUGCAGAGGAUUUGACAUGUGGAGAAAGGUAUCGCCAUACAACGUUCUACGUAUGACCUACAUUUAUACAGGAUUGGCUAGUGCUUCACAGAUGGGGACCACUGGAGCUGAGCUACUUUGGCUCAUUGGUUUGUACAUGGAAAGGCCAUCAAAGGCUACACGGACAUCUUGUCUAACACAGACUGCUCAUCCUCUGGACAUUCCUGGAGUGAAGGACAACCCUGUUAAAGGUCUUCCACAAACUUCUGCAUUUCCUCAGCACCCAGAGCACAGAAGUGAAGUACCUGUUUCUUCUCUGAGCCUGAGACUGGAGUCACCAGUGUAAUGCCAUGGGGGUAAUCUGAAAAAAGACGUGUCAACAAAAUAAAGAGGUGCUAGGCAUUCUUGA